GAUGAACGCUGACAGAAUGCUUAACACAUGCAAGUCGAUGGGGAAGUGGUGCUUGCACCAUGGUAACCAUGGCGGACGGGUGAGUAACGCGUAAGGAACUUGCCUGCGGGACUGGGAUAACAGCAGGAAACUGCUGAUAAUACCGGAUAAGGUCAUUAAGCUGCAUAGCUUAGUGAUGAAAGGAGACGCCUGCGGAGAGCCUUGCGUCCUAUUAGCCAGUUGGAGGGGUAACGGCCCACCAAGGCGAAGAUAGGUAGCCGGCCUGAGAGGGUGGACGGCCACAAGGGGACUGAGAUACGGCCCUUACUCCUACGGGAGGCAGCAGUGGGGAAUAUUGGACAAUGGGGGCAACCCUGAUCCAGCAAUUCUGUGUGCACGAAGACGGUUUUCGGAUUGUAAAGUGCUUUCAGCAGGGAAGAAGGAAGUGACGGUACCUGCAGAAGAAGCGACGGCUAAAUACGUG
rnacentral:rRNA from 1 species